rnacentral:rRNA from 1 species
AACGAACGCUGGCGGCAGGCUUAACACAUGCAAGUCGAGCGAAGACUUCGGUCUUAGCGGCGGACGGGUGAGUAACGCGUGGGAACAUACCCUUUGCUACGGAACAGUCCCGGGAAACUGGGUUUAAUACCGUAUACGCCCUUCGGGGGAAAGAUUUAUCGGCAAAGGAUUGGCCCGCGUUGGAUUAGGUAGUUGGUGGGGUAAAGGCCUACCAAGCCGACGAUCCAUAGCUGGUUUGAGAGGAUGAUCAGCCACACUGGGACUGAGACACGGCCCAGACUCCUACGGGAGGCAGCAGUGGGGAAUCUUAGACAAUGGGGGCAACCCUGAUCUAGCCAUGCCGCGUGAGUGAUGAAGGCCCUAGGGUUGUAAAGCCCUUUUCCCAGGGAAGAUAGUGACGGUACCUGGGGAAUCAGCCCCGGCUAACUACGUGCCAGCCGCCGCGUAACAC